AGCGAACGCUGGCGGCAGGCUUAACACAUGCAAGUCGAACGCAUCCUUCGGGGUGAGUGGCAGACGGGUGAGUAACACGUGGGAACAUACCUUUCGGUUCGGAAUAACUCAUGGAAACGUGAGCUAAUACCGGAUACGCCCUUUUGGGGAAAGAUUUAUUGCCGAAAGAUUGGCCCGCGUCUGAUUAGCUAGUUGGUGAGGUAAUGGCUCACCAAGGCGACGAUCAGUAGCUGGUCUGAGAGGAUGAUCAGCCACACUGGGACUGAGACACGGCCCAGACUCCUACGGGAGGCAGCAGUGGGGAAUAUUGGACAAUGGGCGCAAGCCUGAUCCAGCCAUGCCGCGUGAGUGAUGAAGGCCUUAGGGUCGUAAAGCUCUUUUAUCCGGGAAGAUAAUGACUGUACCGGAAGAAUAAGCCCCGGCUAACUUCGUGCCAGCCGCCGCUGUAA
rnacentral:rRNA from 1 species